AGUCGAACGCAGUAGCAAUACUGAGUGGCAAACGGGUGAGUAUAAUGUGGGAAUCUGCCUUUUGGUUCGGAACAACACGGGGAAACCUGUGCUAAUACCGGAUAAGUCCUAACGGAGAAAGUUUUAAUGCCAAAAGAUGAGCCCGCAUUUGAUUAGCUAGUUGGUAAGGUAAAAGCUUACCAAGGCAACGAUCAAUAGCUGUUCUUAGAGGAAGACCAGCCACAUUGGGACUGAGACACGGCCCAAACUCC
rnacentral:rRNA from 1 species